rnacentral:lncRNA from 1 species
GGAUGUUCUCCGGUGAGCUGGGUCCGGACCGCGAUUUCUUCAUCUACAGCCGUCACUUCAACCCCACCGUGCUAAACCUCAGCCGCCAGAUGGCGGCGCUGGAGGGCACCGAGGCGGCGUACUGCACUUCCAGCGGGAUGUCGGCGAUCUCGGCGGCGCUGUUGCAGCUCUGCAGCAGCGGCGACCACAUCGUGGCGUCGCGGACUCUGUACGGCGGCACCCACGCCCUCCUCACCCACUUCUUC